UUUGGGGAAUCUUCAAGAAGCGAAGAGACUUAGUUUUGCAAAUUUCAGAUUCAAGAAGUUGGGAAAGCUAGGCUCUUUUGACACACUUACAGGGAGGUGUUUGGACAGGAAGCAAAGAGAAAAGCCCACCGGAAUCAGGAACAAAUGAGCUUCUCAUCAAUACGGAUGAAGCACUAACAACAGACAAAUACCUCCAAAGAACUCAUGUAAAGUAACUGGUUCGAAGUAUAAAUGUAUAUUAUUUUGAUGACAACUAACCACCUUUGCAAUUUUUUUGAACAAAUGUUGGUUAAAAUACCCCAGCUUCUGCCCAAAACAUCAAUUUUUUUUGGAAUAUGUGAAUGCAAGUCCAGCUUUUGUAAUGUGUAAAAUGAUGACAUUUUAAGUUAAGUUAGUGUUUCUUACCUUAUGAAUGCGACUGGACUAUAUACAAAAUUUGGGGAAAAAUGCAAACCCGCAGCAUCGCGCGGGGGUGGUAUCUAGUUAUAUAUAUAUGUAAAGAAUAGGUUUC